rnacentral:rRNA from 1 species
AACGCUGGCGGCGUGCCUAACACAUGCAAGUCGUACGAGAAAGUCGGCUUCGGCUGAUGAGUAAAGUGGCGCACGGGUGAGUAACGCGUGGAUAAUCUGCCUUUUAGUUGGGAAUAACGUACCGAAAGGUGCGCUAAUACCGGAUAAUACUGCAUAACUACUGUUGUGUAGUCAAAGAAGGCCUCUGUUUACAAGCUUUUGCUGAAAGAUGAGUCCGCGUACCAUUAGCUAGUUGGUAGGGUAAUGGCCUACCAAGGCUACGAUGGUUAGCUGGUCUGAGAGGAUGAUCAGCCACACUGGAACUGAGACACGGUCCAGACUCCUACGGGAGGCAGCAGUGAGGAAUAUUGCGCAAUGGGGGCAACCCUGACGCAGCAACGCCGCGUGAGUGAGGAAGGUUUUCGGACCGUAAAGCUCUGUCGAGCGGGAAGAAAUGUAUCGUGGCUAAUAUCCAUGAUAUUUGACGGUACCGCUAAAGGAAGCACCGGCUAACUCCGUG